GAGCGGAGUUGAUUGCACGCUUGCUUUCAAUUYAACUUAGCGGCGGACGGGUGAGUAACACGUAGGUCACCUGCCUGUAAGACUGGGAUAACUACCGGAAACGGUAGCUAAUACCGGAUAAYUUGUUUCUUCUCCUGAAGAGACACUGAAAGGCGGAGCAAUCUGCCACUUACAGAUGGGCCUGCGGCGCAAUAGCUAGUUGGUGAGGUAACGGCUCACCAAGGCGACGAUGCGUAGCCRACCUGAGAGGGUGAACGGCCACACUGGGACUGAGACACGGCCCAGACUCCUACGGGAGGCAGCAGUAGGGAAUCUUCCGCARUGGACGAAGUCUGACGGAGCACGCCGCGUGAGUGAUGAAGGUUUUCGGAUCGUAAGCUCUGUUGCCAGGGAAGAA
rnacentral:rRNA from 1 species